rnacentral:lncRNA from 1 species
ACGUCGUACCUACCGUCACUGCAAAAUUAAAAAAAAAUCAAGAAUGUUGCCCGACAUUUCUGUCGUCUUUGGUGUAUAAAGGCUCUUUCAAUAAGGAAUAUAGCUGCAUGGAGGCUCCCAUACUGAAGGCAUCAUGCUAAAGCACGCUUAUGUGGCACUCAUAUUUACCGCCCUAAUGAGUAUUUAUGAUGCCCAGUGGGACGGCAUUGGCAUCAAAAUCUAUAACGUUGAAAUGUUUAUGAACACAUCAAUGAAAAUAUGGACGUAUACCACCACUCGGCUGUCUCAGUAUGAAUGCUUUGUGGACGACGUGGUUAAUAUACCAACAGAAGCCGUGUACUUCAGCAGAUCUUAUAGGACUGAUAAGGGAUGGGUGCAGAAUCUCAAGAAAGGAAUGUUUCACAGACUAUACUCAAGUGUGAUGAUUGUUGGCCCUACAGGUACGU